rnacentral:rRNA from 1 species
UGGCUCAGAUUGAACGCUGGCGGCAGGCCUAACACAUGCAAGUCGAACGGUAACAGGAAGCAGCUUGCUGCUUUGCUGACGAGUGGCGGACGGGUGAGUAAUGUCUGGGAAACUGCCUGAUGGAGGGGGAUAACUACUGGAAACGGUGGCUAAUACCGCAUAACGUCGCAAGACCAAAGAGGGGGACCUUCGGGCCUCUUGCCAUCAGAUGUGCCCAGAUGGGAUUAGCUUGUUGGUGAGGUAACGGCUCACCAAGGCGACGAUCCCUAGCUGGUCUGAGAGGAUGACCAGCCACACUGGAACUGAGACACGGUCCAGACUCCUACGGGAGGCAGCAGUGGGGAAUAUUGCACAAUGGGCGCAAGCCUGAUGCAGCCAUGCCGCGUGUAUGAAGAAGGCCUUCGGGUUGUAAAGUACUUUCAGCGGGGAGGAAGGUGUUGCGGUUAAUAACCGCAGCAAUUGACGUUACCCGCAGAAGAAGCACCGGCUAACUCCGUGCCAGCAGCCGCGGUAAUACGGAGGGUGCAAGCGUUAAUCGGAAUUACUGGGCGUAAAGCGCACGCAGGCGGUCUGUCAAGUCGGAUGUGAAAUCCCCGGGCUCAACCUGGGAACUGCAUUCGAAACUGGCAGGCUUGAGUCUUGUAGAGGGGGGUAGAAUUCCAGGUGUAGCGGUGAAAUGCGUAGAGAUCUGGAGGAAUACCGGUGGCGAAGGCGGCCCCCUGGACAAAGACUGACGCUCAGGUGCGAAAGCGUGGGGAGCAAACAGGAUUAGAUACCCUGAUAGUCCACGCCGUAAACGAUGUCUACUUGGAGGUUGUGCCCUUGAGGCGUGGCUUCCGGAGCUAACGCGUUAAGUAGACCGCCUGGGGAGUACGGCCGCAAGGUUAAAACUCAAAUGAAUUGACGGGGGCCCGCACAAGCGGUGGAGCAUGUGGUUUAAUUCGAUGCAACGCGAAGAACCUUACCUGGUCUUGACAUCCACAGAAGAAUCCAGAGAUGGAUUUGUGCCUUCGGGAACUGUGAGACAGGUGCUGCAUGGCUGUCGUCAGCUCGUGUUGUGAAAUGUUGGGUUAAGUCCCGCAACGAGCGCAACCCUUAUCCUUUGUUGCCAGCGAUUAGGUCGGGAACUCAAAGGAGACUGCCAGUGAUAAACUGGAGGAAGGUGGGGAUGACGUCAAGUCAUCAUGGCCCUUACGACCAGGGCUACACACGUGCUACAAUGGCGCAUACAAAGAGAAGCGACCUCGCGAGAGCAAGCGGACCUCAUAAAGUGCGUCGUAGUCCGGAUUGGAGUCUGCAACUCGACUCCAUGAAGUCGGAAUCGCUAGUAAUCGUGGAUCAGAAUGCCACGGUGAAUACGUUCCCGGGCCUUGUACACACCGCCCGUCACACCAUGGGAGUGGGUUGCAAAAGAAGUAGGUAGCUUAACCUUCGGGAGGGCGCUUACCACUUUGUGAUUCAUGACUGGGGUGAAGUCGUAACAAGG